rnacentral:lncRNA from 1 species
AUGAAAUUCCCUGAUUGCUUUAUCCAGUUGAUCAUGGGUUGUAUUACAUCUGUUUCUUACUCCCUAUUGAUUCAAGGGUGUCCGCUGGGUCUCCUCACUCCUACUCAGGGUCUACGCCAAGGAAAUCCCUUCUCAUCCUAUUUAUUCCUUUUAGUGACUGAGGGCUUUCCAUCUUCACUUCAGAAAGCUAAUCAGGAUUCUCGAGUUUUCGGGAUUUCUAUUGUUCCUUUCGCACCUUCUCUUAAUCACCUAUUUUUUUGCAAAUGACAUCCUCUUAUUUUGUAAUGCUGAAGUUACCCAAAUAAUGGAGUUGAAGCGCCUCUUUAGUCUUUAUGAAGCAACGCUCGAGGCAGCAAAUAAAUUUUGCCAAGUUUGCUAUCUAUUUUAGCCCAUCUAACUCUGAAUCACCCCAAGCUCUUCUCGGGGUACCGGUAUUUCCAUGCCAUGAAUGA